AAGUAGCGACAGGGAUUGACGUGAAAAUCCUUUUUACAACUGAGAUUCUCUCGAAGUUUAGUAAAAAGAUUGUAACAAAAAGCCCGCUCGGUC
rnacentral:sRNA from 1 species